GAAUUGCGAUAAGUAAUGUGAAUUGCAGAAUUCAGUGAAUCAUCGAAUCUUUGAACGCACCUUGCACCCUCUGGUAUUCCGGAGGGUAUGCCCGGUUGAGUGUCAUGAAUAUCUCAACUCCAACGUUUUGUUAAAGGUCUUGUCGACUCGUCCUGCCGGCCUAGCGAGGCUGCUGUGACUGUUGCGAGGCUGAAGCGUUGGAGCUUGGACCUGAGCUCUGUUGGCCUUCCCAGGUCGACUGGCUAGAAAUGCAUCAGCGAUGACGUCCCUUGGGUCCAUCUCGGCGUGAUAAGUUGAUCGUCGCAAAGGUCUCUCGGGUUGGCUCGCUCCUAAUCGUCUUCGGACAGCCUCUGACGUUUACACCUCAACUCGGGUAGGACUACCCGCUGAACUUAAGCAUAUCAAUAAGCGGAGGAAAAGAAACUAACAAGGAUUCCCUAGUAAC
rnacentral:rRNA from 1 species